GAUGAAAUUAUAUAGUUAACUGUUUGUAGCUUCUGAGUCAUGAGAUCUCAUCAAAAGGUCUCCACUAUGUCAUAAAGAAGGCAUUGUGGAAUAUUUGAAACAGGAGGUUGAUCCUGGUAUUCUGGCCCAGGGAUGCCUAUUUCAGACAAACAAUUGUUUGCAAACCUGGAAUCCCUAAAUACCCAACUCUUUAAGUUUUAAAGUAAUUCUCUAGUGAUAAAAUAAGCUGACAAACUGCUGACUCUUCGACAUAUUUGCAAGAUCUGGUGCAAGUGUUUCGCAGAAGGUUUCGUUCAAUGUG
rnacentral:lncRNA from 1 species